AACCCAUGUUGAGGACAUUUCCGUAGGAGAUCCUUGAACCUAUCCCAUGUCUCAAAUAGAGACUCCAAUUCUGUUUCCACAAAAGAGGAUAUUUUCAUUCCUAAGCUU